rnacentral:rRNA from 1 species
GUCCACGCCGUAAACGAUGGAUACUAGCUGUUGGGGCAACUUCAGUGGCUAAGCGAAAGUGAUAAGUAUCCCACCUGGGGAGUACGUUCGCAAGAAUGAAACUCAAAGGAAUUGACGGGGCCCGCACAAGCGGUGGAGCAUGUGGUUUAAUUCGAUGAUACGCGAGGAACCUUACCAGGGCUUAAAUGUAGAUUGACAGGACUGGAAACAGUUUUUCUUCGGACAAUUUACAAGGUGCUGCAUGGUUGUCGU